rnacentral:lncRNA from 1 species
CAAACCAGUUUGAUAUAGUUGAUUUAUGCUUGGCCAUUAUUUCUUCAUAUAGUACAAAGAGCCACGUUUUAAGAAUUGAGUGUAAGGGGUAUGUGUUAAGAGUUUCAUAUCGAACAAUAUAUGACAUAAAUGCGCGUUUAUAAAUGAAAAUCAGUUUGAUAGAGUUGAAUUAGGUUCAACCACAUCUUUUAGCACCUUUUUAUCAUGUGAAAAUAAUGUGAUCAUUGUUGAAUUGAAUAAAGAUGAAUUAAUGUUUACCAAAAC